CUCAGGACGAACGCUGGCGGCGCGCUUUAUACAUGCAAGUCGAACGAGAAGCCAGAGCUUGCUCUGGUGGAAAGUGGCGAACGGGUGAGUAACACGUGAGAAACCUGCCCCAAAGACUGGGAUAAGCCGAGGAAACUUGGUCUAAUACCGGAUACCUUCUUUUAUCACAUGUUAAAAAGAAGAAAUGCUCCGGCGCUUUGGGAUGGUCUCGCGACCUAUCAGCUUGUUGGUGAGGUAAAAGCUCACCAAGGCAUCGACGGGUAGCUGGUCUGAGAGGAUGUCCAGCCACAUUGGGACUGAGAUACGGCCCAAACUCCUACGGGAGGCAGCAGUAGGGAAUCUUGCACAAUGAGGGAAACCUUGAUGCAGCGACGCCGCGUGCGGGACGAAGGCCCUAGGGUUGUAAACCGCUUUCAGUAGGGACGAAAGUGACGGUACCUACAGAAGAAGCCCCGGCCAACUAUGUG
rnacentral:rRNA from 1 species